UACGUAGGGAGCAAGCGUUAUCCGGAUUUAUUGGGUGUAAAGGGUGCGUAGACGGGAAGGCAAGUUGGUUGUGAAAUCCCUCGGCUUAACUGAGGAACUGCAACCAAAACUAUCUUUCUUGAGUGCUGGAGAGGAAAGUGGAAUUCCUAGUGUAGCGGUGAAAUGCGUAGAUAUUAGGAGGAACACCAGUGGCGAAGGCGACUUUCUGGACAGUAACCGACGCUGAGGCUCGAAAGCGUGGGGAGCAAACAGG
rnacentral:rRNA from 1 species